rnacentral:ncRNA from 1 species
AUAUCAUUUUGAGGAAUUCUAACAGAGGUUUCUAUUGGUAGUGUAAGUUGGGCAAAGUGUCUUAUUUUUUAAAGUAUGUAAAAGUAAAAUUACAUGUUAAUACGUAGUAUUAAUGGCGAGACUCCUGAGGGAGCAGUGCCAGUCGAAGACCGAGGCUGAGACGGCACCCUAGGAAAGCGAAGCCAUUCAAUACGAAG